GAUUCUUCCAUUUAUCAUUUGAUUUCUUAUUUGAAUUUGAAUGUAAAAUGUGACCACUUAAAGGAGGAGAAAAAUGAUUUUCGUGAACUAUAGUGAAUUAGGGUUUUGAUUUUCUUCUGAUUUAGGGUUUUUCUUGUGAUUUAGUGUUUUUGUGUGUUGUUUUUUUGAACAUUUUCAAUUUGCAAAUUGCUUUAGUUGCAGAUAUCAGUGUUUUCUGUAAUUGAAGUCUAUUGUCAAAUUGAAUGAGCCAAAGAGUUCUCGAAAUUAAUUUUAUGUUUACUAGUAUUAUUUACCGACCAAAAAUGCUUCAUUUAUUAGUUAAUGGUAUUCAUUACUUUAUUCUAUGAAUCAACAUGCAAAUCUUGCCUUUUCUUUCUUUUGCUCUUGCAUUGCUCACUUAACUGUGUUUAAAACCUCUUACUUACCUUGACAGUUGAGAUUCUUCUUCAGGGGCUAUGUGGUGUUCAAAGAGAACGAUUGAGGAUCCAUAAAAUAUGUCGCAAGAAAGGUCCAAAUCUCGGUGAGUAUUUUCUUCCAAUACUUUGUUAUGCUACAGCCAACAAUACUUUGUUUAACCGGUUGCUUCGCUAUUAAUGUAUUGUUAAUAUAAUUUGAAAGAAUAUGCAGAAGAUAGAUCUCUUGAUAUUGCUUGCUCUAUAUUGAACUUUUAAUGACUAGUGUUUUGUUUUUACUUCUUUUCAGUGCUUCUUCCCUCAGAAUUUGAUUAUCAGUGUUAGAACCCCACUCUUUCUUCUUAAUGCUGCUUAUGAUUCAUGGCAGAUCCAAUCUAGUUUAGCUCCUCCAUCAACAGAUCCCCAUGGACAUUAGCAUGAUUGCAGAUUAAACCAUGCUAAAUGUAUUAGGCCACAAAACCAAUUUCUGCAAGGAAUCACAUGCUGAAUUCUGCUAAAGAUUUCUCAAGAUCAAAACAUAAUGGACUGUUUAUUAAUUCGUGUUUUGCGUACUGCCAAACCGAGAGGCAGGAUACAUGGUUUUCAGAUAAUUCUCCAGCUGUUGGGAACAAGGUAAUUGCUUUAGCUGUUGGAGACUGGUUUUUGGACUGAGAAGGUGUUACAGUCAUUGAUUGUCCUUAUCCUUGUGAUAAUACAUGUCACUAUUUGGUUUUCUGUUGAGCCAAAGUUCAUCCAUCAUCAUCAGUGGAGGAUUAGCUAUUUGAGAAUGUUGGGGCAAAUCCAUCCUCAUCAUCAUAUGUAUUAUUGAGCCGUAGGAGGGAUCCAACUCAUAUCUAUAGUUAGAUUGUUACUAUUUGUAAUAUUUCAAAUUUAGCUUGAUUAUAAAGAUGUUUAUCCAAACAAUUAAGACAAAAGGGUAAGUUUAUUGAUGUAUUUAUGAGAAUAAUAUAAAUAUACGAGUCAUUUAUAUAGAAAUUUUAUAAUGA